rnacentral:rRNA from 1 species
GACAGAGGGGGCAAGCGUUGCUCGGAAUUACUGGGCGUAAAGGGCGCGUAAGCGGGAUGGCAAGUCGGUCGUGAAAUCCCUCGGCUCAACCGAGGAACGUCGAUCGAUACUGCUGUUCUUGAGGAUUGCAGAGGAGACUGGAAUUCUCGGUGUAGCGGUGAAAUGCGUAGAUAUCGAGAGGAACACCUGCGGCGAAGGCGGGUUGCUGGGCUGACACUGACGCUGAGAAGCGAAAGCAUGGGGAGCGAACAGG